rnacentral:rRNA from 1 species
CUAUCAUUAACUGAAUCCAUAGGUUAAUGAGGCGAACCGGGGGAACUGAAACAUCUAAGUACCCCGAGGAAAAGAAAUCAACCGAGAUUCCCCCAGUAGCGGCGAGCGAACGGGGAGGAGCCCAGAGCCUGAAUCAGCAUGUGUGUUAGUGGAAGCGUCUGGAAAGGCGCGCGAUACAGGGUGACAGCCCCGUACACAAAAGCGCAUGUGCUGUGAGCUCGAUGAGUAGGGCGGGACACGUGGUAUCCUGUCUGAAUAUGGGGGGACCAUCCUCCAAGGCUAAAUACUCCUGACUGACCGAUAGUGAACCAGUACCGUGAGGGAAAGGCGAAAAGAACCCCGGCGAGGGGAGUGAAAAAGAACCUGAAACCGUGUACGUACAAGCAGUGGGAGCACCCUUUGGGUGUGACUGCGUACCUUUUGUAUAAUGGGUCAGCGACUUAUAUUCUGUAGCAAGGUUAACCGAAUAGGGGAGCCGGAGGGAAACCGAGUCUUAAUUGGGCGUUAAGUUGCAGGGUAUAGACCCGAAACCCGGUGAUCUAGCCAUGGGCAGGUUGAAGGUUGGGUAACACUAACUGGAGGACCGAACCGACUAAUGUUGAAAAAUUAGCGGAUGACCUGUGGCUGGGGGUGAAAGGCCAAUCAAACCGGGAGAUAGCUGGUUCUCCCCGAAAGCUAUUUAGGUAGCGCCUCGUGAAUUCAUCUCCGGGGGUAGAGCACUGUUUCGGCUAGGGGGCCAUCCCGGCUUACCAACCCGAUGCAAACUGCGAAUACCGGAGAAUGUUAUCACGGGAGACACACGGCGGGUGCUAACGUCCGUCGUGAAGAGGGAAACAACCCAGACCGCCAGCUAAGGUCCCAAAGUCAUGGUUAAGUGGGAAACGAUGUGGGAAGGCCCAGACAGCCAGGAUGUUGGCUUAGAAGCAGCCAUCAUUUAAAGAAAGCGUAAUAGCUCACUGGUCGAGUCGGCCUGCGCGGAAGAUGUAACGGGGCUAAACCAUGCACCGAAGCUGCGGCAGCGACACUGUGUGUUGUUGGGUAGGGGAGCGUUCUGUAAGCCUGCGAAGGUGGCCUGUGAGGGUUGCUGGAGGUAUCAGAAGUGCGAAUGCUGACAUAAGUAACGAUAAAGCGGGUGAAAAGCCCGCUCGCCGGAAGACCAAGGGUUCCUGUCCAACGUUAAUCGGGGCAGGGUGAGUCGACCCCUAAGGCGAGGCCGAAAGGCGUAGUCGAUGGGAAACGGGUUAAUAUUCCCGUACUUGGUGUUACUGCGAAGGGGGGACGGAGAAGGCUAUGUUGGCCGGGCGACGGUUGUCCCGGUUUAAGCGUGUAGGUGUGUGUUCCAGGUAAAUCCGGUUCACUUUAACACUGAGGCGUGACGACGAGGCACUACGGUGCUGAAGCAACAAAUGCCCUGCUUCCAGGAAAAGCCUCUAAGCAUCAGGUAACAUCAAAUCGUACCCCAAACCGACACAGGUGGUCAGGUAGAGAAUACCAAGGCGCUUGAGAGAACUCGGGUGAAGGAACUAGGCAAAAUGGUGCCGUAACUUCGGGAGAAGGCACGCUGACACGUAGGUGAAGUGAUUUACUCAUGGAGCUGAAGUCAGUCGAAGAUACCAGCUGGCUGCAACUGUUUAUUAAAAACACAGCACUGUGCAAACACGAAAGUGGACGUAUACGGUGUGACGCCUGCCCGGUGCCGGAAGGUUAAUUGAUGGGGUCAGCGCAAGCGAAGCUCCUGAUCGAAGCCCCGGUAAACGGCGGCCGUAACUAUAACGGUCCUAAGGUAGCGAAAUUCCUUGUCGGGUAAGUUCCGACCUGCACGAAUGGCGUAAUGAUGGCCAGGCUGUCUCCACCCGAGACUCAGUGAAAUUGAACUCGCUGUGAAGAUGCAGUGUACCCGCGGCAAGACGGAAAGACCCCGUGAACCUUUACUAUAGCUUGACACUGAACAUUGAGCCUUGAUGUGUAGGAUAGGUGGGAGGCUUUGAAGUGUGGACGCCAGUCUGCAUGGAGCCGACCUUGAAAUACCACCCUUUAAUGUUUGAUGUUCUAACGUGGACCCGUUACCCGGGUUGCGGACAGUGUCUGGUGGGUAGUUUGACUGGGGCGGUCUCCUCCUAAAGAGUAACGGAGGAGCACGAAGGUUGGCUAAUCCUGGUCGGACAUCAGGAGGUUAGUGCAAUGGCAUAAGCCAGCUUGACUGCGAGCGUGACGGCGCGAGCAGGUGCGAAAGCAGGUCAUAGUGAUCCGGUGGUUCUGAAUGGAAGGGCCAUCGCUCAACGGAUAAAAGGUACUCCGGGGAUAACAGGCUGAUACCGCCCAAGAGUUCAUAUCGACGGCGGUGUUUGGCACCUCGAUGUCGGCUCAUCACAUCCUGGGGCUGAAGUAGGUCCCAAGGGUAUGGCUGUUCGCCAUUUAAAGUGGUACGCGAGCUGGGUUUAGAACGUCGUGAGACAGUUCGGUCCCUAUCUGCCGUGGGCGCUGGAGAACUGAGGGGGGCUGCUCCUAGUACGAGAGGACCGGAGUGGACGCAUCACUGGUGUUCGGGUUGUCAUGCCAAUGGCACUGCCCGGUAGCUAAAUGCGGAAGAGAUAAGUGCUGAAAGCAUCUAAGCACGAAACUUGCCCCGA